rnacentral:rRNA from 1 species
GACGAACGCUGGCGGCGUGCUUAACACAUGCAAGUCGAACGAAGUGGCGAACGGGUGAGUAACGCGUAAUCAACCUGCCCUUCAGAGGGGGACAACAGUUGGCAACGACUGCUAAUACCGCAUACUGAAGGAGGGGAUUGAUUUUGAUUCGCACGUGGGAGGGGUAACGGCCCACCAAGGUGAGGGUCAGUAGCCUGUCUGAGAGGAUGAACGGCCACAUUGGGACUGAGACCAGGCCCAGACUCCUACGGGAGUCAGCAGUGGGGACUCUUCCGCAAUGGACGAAAGUCUGACGGAGCAACGCCGCGUGAGUGAUGACGGCCUUCGGGUUGUAAAGCUCUGUUAAUCGGGACGCGGUACCGGAAUAGAAAGCCACGGAUAACUACGUGCCAGCAGCCGCGGUAAUUC